GGCACUUCACAGCCUUCUGUGCUUAGGAACUCUAUACAGCACUUCAGCAAUAGAUUUGGGGGCCACUUUAAACAGCAAAAUCACCAACGGAAAGCAAAACAUGUGAUGGCUCGGCACAGUGGCAUGUGCCUAUAGUCCCAGCUACUCAGGAGGCUGAGACAGGAGGGUCACUUGAGCCCAGGAGUUUGAGUCCAGCCUGGUCAACAUAGAGAGAUCCUGUUUCUAAAAACAAAAAAAUCAUGGCACCAAAUAGACCAUGGAAAGGACACUCGUUUACAGUACGAGAGUUGAAACAAGAAGGCAGAAUCUUGUCUUGUUUGGCCUCAGCUGGCAACGUUCCCGUAGGGUGACUCAAGUAUCUCGUUACUGUGCAUGUUCAAAAGUGACUACAAAGGUGCUAUGACUACUUCGAGGUUACAAAUAAGUUUCAGCAAUAGGCAAAUUUGCAAACAGAAUCUGUGAAUAAUGAGGACUGACUAUAGUUAAAGAUUAUGGAGAGAAUGUUUUCAGUCAAAACCCAUCAAACCUGUACAUAAAGUUUGAUGAGAGGCAGAUCACACGAAUGAUUUUUGGAAAUGCAAGACUACCACCUGCAAACAAAACUAGGAUCCCACAUUUAAUUGGAUGGGGCAACAAGAGUAUCCCCUCCGCCAGGCGCGGUGGCUCACGCCCAUAAUCCCAGCACUUUGGGAGGCCAAGGUGAGUGGAUCACUUGAGGUCAGGAGUUUGAGACCAGCCUAGCCAACAUGGUAAAAUCCCAUCUCUACUAAAAAUACAAAAAUUAGCCUGGCCUGGUGAUGUGUGCCUGUAGUCCCAGCUACUCAGGAGGCUGAGGCAGGAGAAUCGCUUGAACCCAAGAGAUGGAGGUUGUAGUGAGCCAAGAUCGUGCCACUACACUCCAGCCUGGGCAACAGAGUGAAACUCUGUCUCAAAAAAAAAAAAAAAAAAAAAAGGCUGGGUGCAAUGGCUCAUGCCUGUAAUCCCAGCACUUUGGAAGGCCGAGUUGGGUGGAUCAGCUGAGGUCAGGCGUUCAAGACCAGCCUGACCAACAUGGAGAAACCCUGUCUCUACUAAAAAUACAAAAAUUAGCUGGGUGUGGUGGCACCUGUAAUCUCAGCUACUCGAGAGGCUGAGGCAGGAGAAUCGCUUGAACCCAGGAGGCA
rnacentral:lncRNA from 1 species